CCACACCACAACAAAAAGCCUGCGCUGCAACGAGAGAUCCCACAUGCUACAACUAAUACCUGAUGCAGCCAAAAAAAAAUUUUUUUAAAUAAAGAAAAUAAAUAAAUAUUAAAAAAGAAUAAAAUAUAUAGGAAUAAAUCUAACUAAGGAGGUAAAAGACCUGUACUUGGAAAACUGUAAGACACUAAUGAAAGAUAAUUGAGGAUGCCCCAAACAGAUGAAAAGAUAAUACUGUGUUCAUGGAUUGGAAGAAUUAAUAUUGUUAAAAUGUCCAUUCUACCCAAGGCAAUCUACAGAUUCAAUGAAAUCUCUAUCAAAACACCAAUGGUGCUCUCUAUUGUCUUCUCUGCACUGGGAGCAGCUCUCCUGCCAUGGCCCUUCAGCCCCUGAAAAUGUACACGUGUGCCAAGUUCAUUUCCAUCCCCUCCUUGAUCAGGAGAACCUCUCCACUAAUGAGCCGAUCACUGUCUGCAGUGGUGCUGAAACAACUGGAGAUGCUGACAGAUGAGAGCCACAGCAGCUUGGCAACCCCGAGUCCCCUGACCACCUCACUUAUUCCUAGUCGCUGCUUCCAAACCAGUGCCAUUUCGAGGGACACUGACACAGCAGCCAAGUUCACUGGAGCUGGGGCUGCCACAGUAGGGGUGGCUGGCUCUGGGGCUGGAAUUGGGACUGUGUUUGGGAGCCUCAUCAUUGGUUAUGCCAGGAACCUUCUCUGAAGCAACAGCUCUUCUCCUACACCAUUCUGGGCUUUGCCUCUUGGAAGCCAUGGGACUCUUUUGCCUGAUGGUGGCCUUUCUCAUCCUCUUCACCAUGUGAAGGGGCUGUUUCUACCUCCCAUAGUUCUUUCUCCCGUGUCUUGUCUGCCCUGUAUGUUCCUUUUCCUGUACCACCCCAGGCAGCCUGGGGAAAGGGGUUGGCUCACGGUUUGACAGAAGGAAGACAAAUAAAUACUGUAUUAAUAAGAAAAAAGAUAAAAACAAAACAAAAAAGACACCAAUGGCAUUUUCCACAGAACUAGAACAAAUAAUCUAAAAUGUUUACAGAAACACAGAAGACCCCAAAUAGCCAAAGCAAUCUUAGGAAAGAACAGAACUGGACGAAUCAUGCUCCCUGACUUCAACUACAAACCUACAGUCAUCAAACCAGUAUGGUACUGGCACAAAAACAGCCACACAGAUCAAUGGAACAGAACAGAGAGGCCAGAAAUGAACCCACACUUACAUGGUCAAAUUAAUCUAUGACAAGGGAGGAAGAAUAUACAAUGGGGAAAAGAUAACCUCUUCAAUAAAUGGUGUUGUUGAUGGAUCAGGUCUUUGAGAUACAUAAGGAAGCAAGUAAUUUUUUUCCACACUUCUUUUUAUUGGACGAAAUAAUUCAAAGUAUGUAUGCAUUAUAAAGUUCAGCAUUCAAAGAGCACU